GGGCCUUGUACACACCGCCCGUCACACCAUGGGAGUGGGUUGCAAAAGAAGUAGGUAGCUUAACCUUCGGGAGGGCGCUUACCACUUUGUGAUUCAUGACUGGGGUGAAGUCGUAACAAGGUGGGCCUUGUACACACCGCCCGUCACACCAUGGGAGUGGGUUGCAAAAGAAGUAGGUAGCUUAACCUUCGGGAGGGCGCUUACCACUUUGUGAUUCAUGACUGGGGUGAAGUCGUAACAAGGUAACCGUAGGGGAACCUGCGGUUGGAUCACCUCCUUACCUGAAAGAAGC
rnacentral:rRNA from 1 species